rnacentral:rRNA from 1 species
AGUGAACGCUGGCGGUAGGCCUAACACAUGCAAGUCGAACGGCAGCACAGUAAGAGCUUGCUCUUACGGGUGGCGAGUGGCGGACGGGUGUGGAAUACAUCGGAAUCUACUUUUUCGUGGGGGAUAACGCAGGGAAACUUACGCUAAUACCGCAUACGACCUACGGGUGAAAGCAGGGGAUCUUCGGACCUUGCGCGAUUGACUGAGCCGAUGUCGGAUUAGCUAGUUGGCGGGGUAAAGGCCCACCAAGGCGACGAUCCGUAGCUGGUCUGAGAGGAUGAUCAGCCACACUGGAACUGAGACACGGUCCAGACUCCUACGGGAGGCAGCAGUGGGGAAUAUUGGACAAUGGGCGCAAGCCUGAUCCAGCCAUACCGCGUGGGUGAAGAAGGCCUUCGGGUUGUAAAGCCCUUUUGUUGGGAAAGAAAAGCAGCAGGUUAAUACCCCGCUGUUCUGACGGUACCCAAAGAAUAAGCACCGGCUAACUUCGUG